AUCCUCCAAGGCUAAAUACUCGUAAUCGACCGAUAGUGAACAAGUACCGUGAGGGAAAGGCGAAAAGAACCCCGGGAGGGGAGUGAAAUAGAUCCUGAAACCGCAUGCAUACAAAAAGUCGGAGCCGCAAGGUGACGGCGUACCUUUUGUAUAAUGGGUCAGCGACUUACAUUCAGUGGCGAGGUUAACCGAAUAGGGAAGCCGUAGAGAAAUCGAGUCCGAAUAGGGCGAAUAGUCGCUGGGUGUAGACCCGAAACCAAGUGAUCUAUCC
rnacentral:rRNA from 1 species